rnacentral:rRNA from 1 species
AUGACCCGUUGGUCUCCUCUGCAUAGUGCCUCCCGACGCCACCCCACCUCCAUCGCCCUUGUUGCUGCUGCUAGACCACCAUGGCCACCCUCCCAUGUUUCUUCUUCGGCCUUUAGUGCAUCGAACAACCCUACUGGUGCCUCUGUGAACGUUGCCAAGUUUGGCCACCACCAAGACCCUCAAAUCAUGUACCCGGAGCCCAAGUUUGGAGACUGCAUAGAUAUACAUCUCACUUGUGUGCCACUUUGGAUCAUCAAGACCGUUUCAGGAUUCGCCAAGUACCGCUACGCCCGAAGACCACGGAUCCGUGAAGUUCCAGUACCGUCGCCGUGGAUCCGACAAGUACCCCGGCAACGUGUACCACUACCGUCGACCUUCGAAGGACAUGGUUUUGCCGAGUACCCCUUCGUUUUGGAAAGACCGUGA